CAGUCUCUUGCCAUGACCAUUCAAAUGAGUCUUGUCAGUUGCUAUGGUAAAGGCAUUGGUCAGACCACAGGUAGUCAGCUCUACUUAAAUCCCUGCAGGGUUUCUGAUCAAUUUCUGCUUGGACUCAGUGUCUGCAUUAUUUAGAGGUCUCCCUAGUAUUACAAGCAAUUCUGCUAUCUUGGAGUGCUUAUUUCCUGCGAAAAAGGGACUUUCCCACUGAGGUGCAUGUCAACAUUAUUCCUUCCCCAACUCCGGGACGCCUGGUGUCAUUUUCUAACUUGUGCUGUGCUUGGAGUUUUGUUCCUUCCCUCUCCUAGAUCAUGGCUGAAGUAGCACAACCUAAAGAGGUGGUUCUAGUCUGGUUGGAGCAAGAGAAGACGACAUUGAGAACGCCAAACAAUUUCCCAAAGGAUGUGCUGGGCUUCUUGCUGCAAUAUUGGUCAUUGUGCUGCCUGGGUAUUCAAGAAAGUCUGCCUUCAAUUUUCUUAAAGAUUCAGGAGAUGGUUAUGUAGUUCAUUAUCCAUACUAUCCAAACUGAAGACUUUUUCUAUUAUCAAAUAAAAAAUAAAAUUAUAUUAAAAUUUCAAAAUA